AAAACAUCGCCUCCUGCAAAAAUCAAUGUAUAGGAGGUCCUACCUGCCCAGUGACAAGUUUAACGGCCGCGGUAUUUUGACCGUGCAAAGGUAGCGCAAUCACUUGUCUUUUAAAUGAAGACCUGUAUGAAUGGUGGAACGAGGGCUUAGCUGUCUCCCAUUUCAAGUCAAUGAAAUUGAUCUGCCCGUGCAGAAGCGGACAUAUAAAUACAAGACGAGAAGACCCUUUGGAGCUUUAGACACAAGAUCACCUAUGUCAAGGACUACAAACCAAGUCAAACUAAAUAACUCUGAUCUCAAUCUUUUGUUGGGGCGACCGCGGGAUAAAAUAAAACUCCCACGAGGACUGGGACACCCCAAAACCAAGAAAGACAUUUCUAAGUCACAGAACAUCUGACCAAAAGAUCCGGCCACAUGCCGACCAACGGACCAAGUUACCCUAGGGAUAACAGCGCAAUCCCCUUCCAGAGUCCAUAUCGACAAGGGGGUUUACGACCUCGAUGUUGGAUCAGGACAUCCUAAUGGUGCAGCCGCUAUUAAGGGUUCGUUUGUUCAACGAUUAAAGUCCUACGUGAUCUG
rnacentral:rRNA from 1 species